rnacentral:rRNA from 1 species
AAGUGGAUUAGUGGCGCACGGGUGAGUAAUACAUAGAUAACAUACCCUUUAGUCUGGAAUAGCCACUGGAAACGGUGAUUAAUACUGGAUACUCCCUACGGGGGAAAGUUUUUCGCUAAAGGAUUGGUCUAUGUCCUAUCAGCUUGUUGGUGAGGUAAUGGCUCACCAAGGCUAUGACGGGUAUCCGACCUGAGAGGGUGAACGGACACACUGGAACUGAGACACGGUCCAGACUCCUACGGGAGGCAGCAGUAGGGAAUAUUGCUCAAUGGGGGAACCCUGAAGCAGCAACGCCGCGUGGAGGAUGAAGGUUUUAGGAUUGUAAACUCCUUUUGUUAGAGAAGAUU